GGGUUGUGAGGUUAAGCGACUAAGCGUACACGGUGGAUGCCCUGGCAGUCAGAGGCGAUGAAGGACGUGCUAAUCUGCGAUAAGCGUCGGUAAGGUGAUAUGAACCGUUAUAACCGGCGAUUUCCGAAUGGGGAAACCCAGUGUGAUUCGUCACACUAUCAUUAACUGAAUCCAUAGGUUAAUGAGGCGAACCGGGGGAACUGAAACAUCUAAGUACCCCGAGGAAAAGAAAUCAACCGAGAUUCCCCCAGUAGCGGCGAGCGAACGGGGAGGAGCCCAGAGCCUGAAUCAGUGUGUGUGUUAGUGGAAGCGUCUGGAAAGGCGCGCGAUACAGGGUGACAGCCCCGUACACAAAAAUGCACAUAUUGUGAGCUCGAUGAGUAGGGCGGGACACGUGGUAUCCUGUCUGAAUAUGGGGGGACCAUCCUCCAAGGCUAAAUACUCCUGACUGACCGAUAGUGAACCAGUACCGUGAGGGAAAGGCGAAAAGAACCCCGGCGAGGGGAGUGAAAAAGAACCUGAAACCGUGUACGUACAAGCAGUGGGAGCACGCUUCGGCGUGUGACUGCGUACCUUUUGUAUAAUGGGUCAGCGACUUAUAUUCUGUAGCAAGGUUAACCGAAUAGGGGAGCCGAAGGGAAACCGAGUCUUAACUGGGCGUUAAGUUGCAGGGUAUAGACCCGAAACCCGGUGAUCUAGCCAUGGGCAGGUUGAAGGUUGGGUAACACUAACUGGAGGACCGAACCGACUAAUGUUGAAAAAUUAGCGGAUGACUUGUGGCUGGGGGUGAAAGGCCAAUCAAACCGGGAGAUAGCUGGUUCUCCCCGAAAGCUAUUUAGGUAGCGCCUCGUGAAUUCAUCUCCGGGGGUAGAGCACUGUUUCGGCAAGGGGGUCAUCCCGACUUACCAACCCGAUGCAAACUGCGAAUACCGGAGAAUGUUAUCACGGGAGACACACGGCGGGUGCUAACGUCCGUCGUGAAGAGGGAAACAACCCAGACCGCCAGCUAAGGUCCCAAAGUCAUGGUUAAGUGGGAAACGAUGUGGGAAGGCCCAGACAGCCAGGAUGUUGGCUUAGAAGCAGCCAUCAUUUAAAGAAAGCGUAAUAGCUCACUGGUCGAGUCGGCCUGCGCGGAAGAUGUAACGGGGCUAAACCAUGCACCGAAGCUGCGGCAGCGACGCUGAUGCGUUGUUGGGUAGGGGAGCGUUCUGUAAGCCUGCGAAGGUGUGCUGUGAGGCAUGCUGGAGGUAUCAGAAGUGCGAAUGCUGACAUAAGUAACGAUAAAGCGGGUGAAAAGCCCGCUCGCCGGAAGACCAAGGGUUCCUGUCCAACGUUAAUCGGGGCAGGGUGAGUCGACCCCUAAGGCGAGGCCGAAAGGCGUAGUCGAUGGGAAACAGGUUAAUAUUCCUGUACUUGGUGUUACUGCGAAGGGGGGACGGAGAAGGCUAUGUUGGCCGGGCGACGGUUGUCCCGGUUUAAGCGUGUAGGCUGGUUUUCCAGGCAAAUCCGGAAAAUCAAGGCUGAGGCGUGAUGACGAGGCACUACGGUGCUGAAGCAACAAAUGCCCUGCUUCCAGGAAAAGCCUCUAAGCAUCAGGUAACAUCAAAUCGUACCCCAAACCGACACAGGUGGUCAGGUAGAGAAUACCAAGGCGCUUGAGAGAACUCGGGUGAAGGAACUAGGCAAAAUGGUGCCGUAACUUCGGGAGAAGGCACGCUGAUAUGUAGGUGAAGUCCCUCGCGGAUGGAGCUGAAAUCAGUCGAAGAUACCAGCUGGCUGCAACUGUUUAUUAAAAACACAGCACUGUGCAAACACGAAAGUGGACGUAUACGGUGUGACGCCUGCCCGGUGCCGGAAGGUUAAUUGAUGGGGUCAGCGCAAGCGAAGCUCUUGAUCGAAGCCCCGGUAAACGGCGGCCGUAACUAUAACGGUCCUAAGGUAGCGAAAUUCCUUGUCGGGUAAGUUCCGACCUGCACGAAUGGCGUAAUGAUGGCCAGGCUGUCUCCACCCGAGACUCAGUGAAAUUGAACUCGCUGUGAAGAUGCAGUGUACCCGCGGCAAGACGGAAAGACCCCGUGAACCUUUACUAUAGCUUGACACUGAACAUUGAGCCUUGAUGUGUAGGAUAGGUGGGAGGCUUUGAAGUGUGGACGCCAGUCUGCAUGGAGCCGACCUUGAAAUACCACCCUUUAAUGUUUGAUGUUCUAACGUUGACCCGUAAUCCGGGUUGCGGACAGUGUCUGGUGGGUAGUUUGACUGGGGCGGUCUCCUCCUAAAGAGUAACGGAGGAGCACGAAGGUUGGCUAAUCCUGGUCGGACAUCAGGAGGUUAGUGCAAUGGCAUAAGCCAGCUUGACUGCGAGCGUGACGGCGCGAGCAGGUGCGAAAGCAGGUCAUAGUGAUCCGGUGGUUCUGAAUGGAAGGGCCAUCGCUCAACGGAUAAAAGGUACUCCGGGGAUAACAGGCUGAUACCGCCCAAGAGUUCAUAUCGACGGCGGUGUUUGGCACCUCGAUGUCGGCUCAUCACAUCCUGGGGCUGAAGUAGGUCCCAAGGGUAUGGCUGUUCGCCAUUUAAAGUGGUACGCGAGCUGGGUUUAGAACGUCGUGAGACAGUUCGGUCCCUAUCUGCCGUGGGCGCUGGAGAACUGAGGGGGCUGCUCCUAGUACGAGAGGACCGGAGUGGACGCAUCACUGGUGUUCGGGUUGUCAUGCCAAUGGCACUGCCCGGUAGCUAAAUGCGGAAGAGAUAAGUGCUGAAAGCAUCUAAGCACGAAACUUGCCCCGAGAUGAGUUCUCCCUGACCCUUUAAGGGUCCUGAAGGAACGUUGAAGACGACGACGUUGAUAGGCCGGGUGUGUAAGCGCAGCGAUGCGUUGAGCUAACCGGUACUAAUGAACCGUGAGGCUUAACCUUACAACGCCGAAG
rnacentral:rRNA from 1 species